UACGAAGGGGGCUAGCGUUGCUCGGAAUCACUGGGCGUAAAGGGUGCGUAGGCGGGUCUUUAAGUCAGGGGGGAAAUCCUGGAGCUCAACUCUAGAACUGCCUUUGAUACUGAGGAUCUUGAGUACGGGAGAGGUGAGUGGAACUGCGAGUGUAGAGGUGAAAUUCGUAGAUAUUCGCAAGAACACCAGUGGCGAAGGCGGCUCACUGGCCCGUAACUGACGCUGAGGCACGAAAGCGUGGGGAGCAAACAGG
rnacentral:rRNA from 1 species